rnacentral:lncRNA from 1 species
AUGAUUCUCUCCUCGAUUUGUUUUUCUCCCCUCCUUUUUAUCUCAUUCACAUGUAUGGAUGGAUGGAUGGGUUGUGCACAGAUCCAGACCAAAGUCAAAUCAGCAGAGAGACAAUCUCAGGACGUGCUGUUUAAGUGCAGUACCUCCUCCCUCACUCCUCUCUUAUCAUUCUGCCAUGGACAGGGCCACUGUUUAAUGAGCGAGUUGUUAAAAUCAUGAUUAUGUUGAUUAGUGAGUUGAACAAUGUAUGUUUUAGUUUUAUGAAACUUUGUGUGUAAAACCUUAUAAAGGUGUCCUAUGAAUAAUUUUCUUAAAAUCCCCUGCUUUUUAUUUGACUGUUUUUAGGCAAAACAUUGGAGGGAAAAUUCAUGCGUCAGUUUUGUUUUAAAUUGUCUGUUUCUUUAACUUUUCAUUAGUGUGGCUUUCUUGCCCUAAAAUAUGUUAUUAGUUUGAUGUAUUUUCAGAUUUUUAUUUUCUAAUUUUGGCAAUAUUAUCCUUGGGCUGCAAAUUAGUAGAAACUGUGCCACUAAAAUUAGCAAAAUCGGUGGACCUGGUUUUAUUUUUUUAUUCUUUUAUCUGAAUUAAUUGAUUUGAUUCACUGUCACUGGUUGGUGACAUGAAAUGUAUUUUGUUUUGUUGCUAAUCUUAUAACCUGUGUAUGUUGUAAGCUUUUUAGAUAUGAAAUGCGGUUUUGAGUAGCAAGUCUUUAGCCAAAAACGAAAAUGAAAACCAUGUAUUGACCCUUUCUUUUUAUUUCUGUAGAGGGGUAGACCUAGCAACUGCUGAAUGAAGUGUUUUGGAUGAUGUUGUAGAUGUUCAAUGAAGAUGGGUAAAAAAAAAAUAAAAAAAAAAAGACUAAAGGAAAUGGAAGAAAAAAAUAAAUGAUGAAAUAAUUCUAAUCAGCGUUUGAUUUAUUUAGUUAUGUAUUUAUUUUUAUUCCUGAACAACCUAGUUGAAACUGCUUGAGGAUUUCUAUAGCAAUUUCUUUUAUAAACCAAUUAUUCUAAGUAUUGCAACCCUUGGUAGGCUUUCUGGAACUCAAGUAAUUUAAAAUUCUUUGUAUUAUAAAACCCUUGUGACGUUCUUUAGCUGUCAAGUUGCAAAAUGUUAUUUAAAUACAAAUAGUGAUUUUAAGUAAUAUCUUAAUUUAUCAAAUGAAUGGGAGAAAAUCCUUUAUUAGGUAUUCUUUUUUUUGUAUUGGUUCCUAAACUGUAUAUCCAUAUGGAAAUCCAUAUCUACGUGAUACUCCCCCAUAUAGACGUCUGACACUGAAACCCUUGGAUGGAGAACAGGCGACAUGGAACACAUUUGGAUUAUCAGAUGCAUUACAGUUAGUGAUUUCAAGUGUAGCAGCGCUGGUCGCGCGAAUAGUGGCGGUGUCAUGAGCACCGUGUGUACACUGCACGAGACGCGACACAAUUAGAACAUCCCCAUUAUAAUCAUAGAUGAUAAUCUUCUCGCGCUGGCAUUGUAGCUUCGUUUAAUAUAAUGGGAGUGUUCUUGUUUUGUCUAAUCGCGUCGCUCGCUUGCAGUGUAAAUGGGGUGUUGGAGCCUGUUGGCUCGUGUGUGGUUAGCAUUAGCCAGUUAGCUUUAGUGAUGGGAAGUCCGACUCGUUUCUGCGAAUCGGUUCUUUGCAGAGUUCGUUAAAAAAACUGAGAGACUGUGCAGCGGCACUCACUGAUGUCUUCACAGACUAUUUUCAACCAAUAGAAGAUAGGGUAAAAAAAAAUAAAAAAAAAGCUAAAGGAAAUGGAAGAAAAAAAUAAAUGAUGAAAUAAUUCUAAUCAGCGUUUGAUUUAUUUAGUUAUGUAUUUAUUUUUAUUCCUGAACAACCUAGUUGAAACUGCUUGAGGAUUUCUAUAGCAAUUUCUUUUAUAAACCAAUUAUUCUAAGUAUUGCAACCCUUGGUAGGCUUUCUGGAACUCAAGUAAUUUAAAAUUCUUUGUAUUAUAAAACCCUUGUGACGUUCUUUAGCUGUCAAGUUGCAAAAUGUUAUUUAAAUACAAAUAGUGAUUUUAAGUAAUAUCUUUAAUUUAUCAAAUGAAUGGGAGAAAAUCCUUUUAUUAGGAUUCUUUUUUUUGAUUGGUCCUAAACUGAUAUCCAUAUGGAAAUCCAUAUCUACGUGAAUACUCCCCCAUAUAGACGUCUGAUUGCAGUUCUUUUCGGAUUUAAAACGUUUAAAGAAUGGUUUAUGGCUGUCAUUCCGUUAUAUGCUUUAUUAAGAGCAUUUUCCCCGUCUGUAAUACCCGUUUUUAUUUGACGCGUUGGGAGU